UGGAAAAUGUUCAGUGCGAAGAAAGAAGAGGAUCAUGCACCUUGCAACCGGCGAUCAGAAAAGUUCAUCGAUUCAAGAUUUAAAAUGAACUUUUUUAUUUACAAGUUGACGGGGAAAUGUGUUUUUACUCUGACAUCGGCACGAAAGAAAUUUUAAUUGCCUAAAAGCCUACGUGCGGAGGGAGCAGACUCGUUCACGAGGGCCGUUGGGUGGAUUUGAUAAAAGCAGGCCAUAAAAAGGGCGUCGGCCUGCUUGUGCGUGAUGGUAGAGCAGGAGGACGUAAUUGAUUGCGACGCUGCUUGUCAUUUCAGAAACUUUUGUUAGCUACAUGAUUCGAUUAAUGACGUAGUU